AUGCUAUGGCAUUGGUUUAGGCUUUGGGUUUAGAGUUGUUUCCCUAGAUCCCAACUUCAGGAAGCUGUCAAUUGAUGAUAUUGUGAAUGCUUAUAUCAAGUCUAAGAGCAGGGCCAUAUUCCUGGACUAUGAUGGAACUGUGAUGCCGCAGAAUUCUAUCAUUAAGUCUCCUAGUGCUAAUGUUAUCUCCAUCCUGAAUAAACUUUCUGGUGAUCCAAACAACACA
rnacentral:misc_RNA from 1 species